rnacentral:rRNA from 1 species
UCCGGUGGCAAUAGCGGAGGGGAAACACCUCUUCCCAUUCCGAACAGAGAAGUUAAGCCCUCCAGCGCCGAUGGUACUGCCCUGGCAACGGGGUGGAAGAGUAGGACGUCGCCGGGA